AUUGAACGCUGGCGGCAGGCCUAACACAUGCAAGUCGAGCGGAUGAGGAAAGCUUGCUUUUCGAUUCAGCGGCGGACGGGUGAGUAAUGCCUAGGAAUCUGCCUGUUAGUGGGGGAUAACUCGGGGAAACUCGGGCUAAUACCGCAUACGUCCUACGGGAGAAAGUGGGGGAUCUUCGGACCUCACGCUAACAGAUGAGCCUAGGUCGGAUUAGCUAGUAGGUGAGGUAAUGGCUCACCUAGGCGACGAUCCGUAACUGGUCUGAGAGGAUGAGCAGUCACACUGGAACUGAGACACGGUCCAGACUCCUACGGGAGGCAGCAGUGGGGAAUAUUGGACAAUGGGCGAAAGCCUGAUCCAGCCAUGCCGCGUGUGUGAAGAAGGUCUUCGGAUUGUAAAGCACUUUAAGUUGGGAGGAAGGGUAUUCACCUAAUACGUGGGUACUUUGACGUUACCAACAGAAUAAGCACCGGCUAACUUCGUGCCAGCCGCCGCAGUAACAC
rnacentral:rRNA from 1 species